rnacentral:rRNA from 1 species
CGGUACGUACUGGCAUCGUCGGUUUCUCCCUUCUGACGAACCAUGAUGUCAUUUAUUUGGUGUUGUGGGGAAUCAGGACUGUUACUUUGAAAAAAUUAGAGUCGUUUAAAGCAGGCUCACGCUUGAAUACAUUAGCAUGGAAUAAUGAAAUAGGACGUUUGAUUCUAUUUUGUUGGUUUCUAGGAUCGACGUAAUGAUUAAUAGGGAUGGUUGGGGGCAUUAGUAUUCAAUUGUCAGAGGUGAAAUUCUUGGAUUUAUUGAAGACUAACUACUGCGAAAGCAUUUGCCAAGGAUGUUUUCAUUAAUCAAGAACGAAAGUUAGGGGAUCGAAGACGAUCAGAUACCGUCGUAGUCUUAACCAUAAACUAUGCCGACUAGGGAUCGGAUGAUGUUAAUUUUUUAAUGACUCAUUCGGCGCCUUACG